GGGGUAAUAACUGAGUGGUAGAGCACAUGUUUAACAUGCACAAAGUCCUGGGUUCGAUCCCCAGUACCUCCA
rnacentral:tRNA from 1 species